rnacentral:rRNA from 1 species
AUUGAACGCUGGCGGCAGGCCUAACACAUGCAAGUCGAGCGGAUGAAGGGAGCUUGCUCCUGGAUUCAGCGGCGGACGGGUGAGUAAUGCCUAGGAAUCUGCCUGGUAGUGGGGGAUAACGUCCGGAAACGGGCGCUAAUACCGCAUAGGUCCUGAGGGAGAAAGUGGGGGAUCUUCGGACCUCACGCUAUCAGAUGAGCCUAGGUCGUAUUAGCUAGUUGGUAGGGUAAAGGCCUACCAAGGCGACGAUCCGUAACUGGUCUGAGAGGAUGAUCAGUCACACUGGAACUGAGACACGGUCCAGACUCCUACGGGAGGUAGCAGUGGGGAAUAUUGGACAAUGGGCGAAAGCCUGAUCCAGCCAUGCCGCGUGUGUGAAGAAGGUCUUCGGAUUGUAAAGCACUUUAAGUUGGGAGGAAGGGAAGUAAGUUAAUCCAUUGCUGUUUUGACGUUACCAACAGAAUAAGCCCCGGCUAACUUCGUG